rnacentral:rRNA from 1 species
GGAGUUAGCCGGUGCUUCUUCUGUGAGUGAUGUCCUUCAUGCCGGCUAUUAACCCGCAGGCCUUCUUCCUCACUGAAAGUGCUUUACAACCCGAAGGCCUUCUUCACACACGCGGCAUGGCUGGAUCAGGGUUGCCCCCAUUGUCCAAUAUUCCCCACUGCUGCCUCCCGUAGGAGUCUGGGCCGUGUCUCAGUCCCAGUGUGGCUGAUCAUCCUCUCAGACCAGCUACGGAUCGUCGCCUUGGUGAGCCGUUACCUCACCAACCAGCUAAUCCGACAUAGGCUCAUCCGAUAGCGCGAGGCCCGAAGGUCCCCCGCUUUCCCCCGUAGGGCGUAUGCGGUAUUAGCCUGGGUUUCCCCAGGUUAUCCCCCACUACCGGGCAGAUUCCUAUGCAUUACUCACCCGUCCGCCGCUCGCCACCAGGGAGCAAGCUCCCCGUGCUGCCGCUCGACUUGCAUGUGUUAGGCCUGCCGCCAGCGUUCAAUCUGAGCCAGAAUCGAACCCUGA